AUGCGCUCACAUCGCGGCCGGCUCCAGGCGCCCGCGCCGCUUCCGAGCCUCCCAGGCCGGCUCCCGCUGCUCGCGUGCCCCGCGUGGCCGGCUGCUGGGCCGAAUGUACUCGGCGAACGCGAGGACAGGAUGCUCGACCACAGCCGGCUGCCGCCCGGCCCAUCCGCCUCCUGGCCCCGCGCCCGACUUCCGCGGCUUCCGCGCGGCCAACCCCGAGCUCAGCCCCUCUGCAUCGGCCCGCACCUCCACAAGCAUGUGCCCCGGCCGUCGCCUGCGCCCGCCGGCUCCGGAUCCCCACCGGGUCGCCUCCGGCCGCGGCCGGGUGCCCCGCACCAACCGGCUCCGGGUCGCCUCCGCCUGCGGCCGGGCGCCCGCUCCGGCCGUCUCCGGGUCCCCGCCGGGUCGCCUCCUGCCCACCCUCACGCCGGCCUCUCCACAUCCUGUGCCGGCUCCGGUGGCCGCCCCGUCCGUCAACCCGGCCGCCAGCUCCGCAGGCCGGCCCGACCAACUGCCGUCUCCCCCCUCGACCCGGCCUGCCGGCUGUGCCUGCGCCGGCUUCUGCCGUGUCCGCGCUCGCCGGCUCCGCGCGACGCGGCCGCGCGCCGGUUCCGCGCGACUCGGCGCCGUCCGGCGUCCCCGGCGGCCUCCCACGCUGGCUGGCUCGCGCCCGCACGGCCGGCUCCGCCGCUUGUCAGCCCUGCCCGGCGACCCGGCCGCUUGCCGGCCCCGCCCGCAUCCCGGCUAGCCGGCUUGCCGCCCCCCGCGCCGGCUCCGCCCGCAUCCCGGCCUCCCGCAUGUCGGCUGGCCGCGACCGUGCGGGCUGCGCCCUGCAAGCUCCUCUGCCGGCUGGAGCAAAAGAAUGUCAAGAAGCCGAGAAAAAAUAGAGAGGCCGGCCGUUGCGCACCCACUACGGCCGCCUGCUGCACCCGCACAUUCUGCUGCCUACAGAGAAAAAGAAGAAAGAGGGGCCGGCUGCCCCAGUGGCCGACUGGAAAAGAGUGGCUGGGUGCUUGA
rnacentral:rRNA from 1 species